GCGAGAAUAGCUCAAUGGUCAGAGCGCAACUUUGCCAAGGUUGAAGCUAAGGGUUCGAUUCCCUUUUCUCGCU
rnacentral:tRNA from 1 species